AGCUUUGUGCAGUGGCAGUAUCAUAGCCAAUGAGGUUUAUCCAAGGCGCGAUUAUUGCUAAUUGAAAAACACAUUUGGCGUGUGUGUGUGUUCAAAAUCUGGACAGGGGGACCAGCAGUUAGCAUAAUUGCU
rnacentral:snRNA from 11 species